CCUACGGGAGGCAGCAGUGAGGAAUAUUGGUCAAUGGACGAGAGUCUGAACCAGCCAAGUAGCGUGACGGAUGACUGCCCUAUGGGUUGUAAACUUCUUUUAUAUGGGAAUAAAAUGUUCCACGUGUGGGCUUUUGUAUGUACCAUAUGAAUAAGGAUCGGCUAACUCCGUGCCAGCAGCCGCGGUAAUACGGAGGAUCCGAGCGUUAUCCGGAUUUAUUGGGUUUAAAUGGAGCGUAGGUGGGUUGUUAAGUCAGUUGUGAAAGUUUGGGGCUCAACCGUGAAAGUGCAGUUGAAACUGGCAGUCUUGAGUACAGUAGAGGUGGGCGGAAUUCGUGGUGUAGCGGUGAAAUGCUUAGAUAUCACGAAGAACUCCGAUUGCGAAGGCAGCUCGCUGGACUGCAACUGACACUGAGGCUCGAAAGUGUGGGUAUCAAACAGGAGUAGAUACCCUAGUAGUC
rnacentral:rRNA from 1 species